rnacentral:lncRNA from 10 species
CUCCAAAAAGCCCUGUCCACUAAAAUCUUUCUAAAAUAUCCAUCUCCGCAUCAGUUAGAAGGUUGUGGUCAACAUGAGAGCCUUCCUUAUGGAGCUAAGAUUGCUGCUGAAGCUCAUAAGUACCACAUCCUUACACAACGGAAUUCACAAGGGGAACAAGAUGGAUUUGGAGAAUGCGGUAGCAAGAUGAUUUUCUUGUUCUACCUUUAAAAAGGAAGAAAAUCAAGAGACUAUGGUAUCUGGCAAGUCAAAUGAAGAAUAUGUAUCAGAGUGAAAGAAAUGCUCAACUGUGUCCAUUGUCAAGGCUGAUUGGCCACAAAAGGGUAAAGAAAGACUGAGUACUGGAUUUGGCAAUCUGCAGACCUAUGAUGACCUUGAGCAGUUUCAAAGGAGUAAUGGGGACAAAAUGAGAUGGGUUUAAGUGAAAAUAGAGGAGAGAAAUUGGAGAAAGUAAGUAAGUCUUUGACAGGGUUUUGGUGUGAAGAAGAGCUUCCAAUAUUAUUUCUAACCCAAUAAGCUUUUGACUGCAUGCCCCUCAAUAUAUUACUUUCAAAGAGAAGGGUAUUUUUCUACUGGGUCUGUCACAUUCCUGUAACUACUCUAAUGAGCCUAACUCAUUACCACCUUAUGGAAUCUAUAGGUAUUACAAAAAUGAGUGUUUUUUUUGUUUUGUUUUGUUUUGUUUUUUAAAAAAACCCUUUUACCUUUUUGCUGUUAGUCAAUAGUAUAACAAGGGUCACAGUCAGGGCCAUUUGUUGAGAAUUUAUGACAGCUAAUAUAUAUAGUGACUUGAAUUACCCAGGAUCCCUGAGUUCUUUUUAUUACCUAAAAUGAUCAAGAAACAGCUUCUGAUAUAUAUUUUUAGUUUUAUUGUUAAUAAAAUGAAGAUUAAAAAAUACAGAUACAAUACUGCAACAUAAAUAAAAAAUAGACUUAAAAAGUAGUUUGAGGUAUAAUGAACAAAAUUAUACACAUUCCAGGCAUUAUUAAUCUAUUUACAUUUUUAUCCACUAUAUUUAAUUCCACUUAUUAAUACUUCCUGGGAAAUCUCAUUUUACUUUGUUAAAGUUAGAAUAAUCAAUUUUAAAGCUAUCAUCUGCUGGAAGGUCUAAAUUUGAGAAUGAAUGAAUUUAUGCAGGCUUUUCUAAGAGCCUUGAAUUUUAAAAAGACUUACAGUUUAUAUAUAAUAAGGAUCAACCUCUCCCCCA